rnacentral:rRNA from 1 species
UCGAGAAUCUUCGGCAAUGGGCGCAAGCCUGACCGAGCGACGCCGCGUGCGGGAUGAAGGCCUUCGGGUUGUAAACCGCUGUCGUAGGGGAGGAAGGUCUGGUGUAGAGCCAGGCUUGACCGAUCCUAGGAGGAAGGGCCGGCUAAUCUCGUGCCAGCAGCCGCGGUAAUACGAGAGGCCCAAACGUUAUUCGGAUUUACUGGGCUUAAAGAGUUCGUAGGCGGCGCAGAAAGUAGGGUGUGAAAGCCCUCGGCUCAACCGAGGAAUUGCGCCCUAAACUACUGUGCUCGAGGGACCUAGAGGUGAGCAGAACUGAUGGUGGAGCGGUGAAAUGCGUUGAUAUCAUCAGGAAUACCGGAGGCGAAGGCGGCUCACUGGGGGUCUUCUGACGCUGAGGAACGAAAGCCAGGGGAGCGAACGGGAUUAGAUACCCCCGUAGUCC